GCUGGGCAUGGUGGCACGUGCCUGUAGUCCCAGCUAUUUGGGAGGCUGAGGUGGGAGGUUCAGUCCAGGAGUUCUGAGCUAUGUUGAUCAGGGGUCCACACAAAGUUCGGCAUCAAUAUGGUGACCUCCUGGGAGCAGGGAACCACUAGGUUGCCCAAGGAGUGGUGAUCUGGCCCAGGUCGGAAAUGGAGCAGGUCAAAACUACCAUGCUGAUCAGUAGUGGGAUCAUGCCUGUGAAUAGCCACUGCACUCCAGCCCGGCAGCAUAGCAAGACCAUGUCUCU
rnacentral:SRP_RNA from 1 species